GCAGCAACAUGAGGUCACAGUGACCAGUUUCUGUCUUUGAGGCCAGUGGUAACAUCAUGUGGGGAGUACAUUGGUCAACCUUCAUCGGAGCAGGUAACAGGGGACACACUGCCCUACUCAUGAAGGCAGGCGGAAGCAGGACUGUAUGGCUGCUGUAAAUUUUAUAUGCAUAUAAAAUUUAUAGUAUGUUAUGGUUUAAGAGAAAAUUAUAUGAAAUUAUAUGAUAAUUAUAUAUUGCAAGUGGUGCUGUGGGUUAAACUUCAGAGCCUAGGACUUGCUGAUCAGAAGGUCGGCGGUUCGAAUCCCUGCGACGGGAUGAGCUCCCGUUGCUCGGUCCCUGCUCUUGCCAACCUGGCAGUAUGAAAGCACAUCAAAGUGCAAGUAGAUAAAUAAGUACCACUCCAGCGGGAAGGUAAACGGCAUUUCCGUGCGCUGCUCUGGUUUGCCAGAAGCGGCUUAGUCAUGCUGGCCACAUGACCCGGAAGCUGUACGCCGGCUCCCUCGGCCAAUAAAGCGAGAUGAGCGCUGCAACCCCAGAGUCUGCCACGACUGGACCUAAUGGUCAGGGGUCCCUUUACCUUUAACACUGAGUUAACUGGCAAAAAUGUGUUGGAAAUAUAAGGAGAAAGAAGGUUCUUUUUAUCAUAUGUGGUGGUCUUGUAUAAGGUUAAAGCUUACAGGGAAAUGAUAUAUAAUGAAUUGAAAAGGAUGUUCAAAAUAACUUUGGUUAAAAAAAACCCAGAAGCUUUUCUUUUAGGAAUUACAGGGACAGAACUACCUAAACUGUAUAGAAACUUAUUCAUGUAUGCUACUACAGCGGCAAGAAUGUACUCACCCCAAAAUGGAAAGAAGCAGAAGUCCCAGCAAAGGAAGAAUGGAUACAAAAACUUAGGGAAUAUGCAGAAAUGGCGAAACUUACUGGAAGAAUAAGAAAUCAAGGUAACAAUUUUUUAAAAUAAAAGAAUGGAAAUGAUUUAUUGAGUAUUUACAGAUAAAAAACAUUGGCAG